GGGUCUUCACGGGAACAGCCAGGAACCGAAAGCUGCAUUUCCCGGGAUGCCCUGGAGCUCCACUUUGCUGACUGGCAGGUCUUCAAUGAAGAUAUUGGACAGAACAGGCCUGAAGAGCACUCAGGAUGGCAUACCAGCUGCAUUUAACACGAUGGAGCAGCACUCAUUAGGCCAGGCGGUUCAGCUAGUUCUUCAUCUAGCAAGCAACGUACCCGUCCAAGUAGCCGGCUGCAAUCUUUGAGAGAAUUUCGAGGGAUAGCACAUCAAAGGGUUUGCCUCAUUCAUGGGGUUGGGUCACCUUCGCUUUGAGUUUGCUAGCGUGGCUGACCCUAAUCCCGUAACUGACAUCCUGUAGCUGGACAGGGACCAUUCGCACUCCAUCCAGUCUGUUUGAGACUCACGGCCAUGCUGAGAGUCACGCUGAUUUCAGCGCGUGCAGUCAUUUUGCAUCAACCCAAUUGGCUUUAGCUUUACAAAUAAUUUAUCUCAACCAAAUUGGCUUUAGCUUUGCAGUUAAUGCAUUGCAACUAAGUUGGCUUUAGCUUUGCCUUGCUUACGGGGUUGGGUUAGCUUUGCUUUGUUUGUUGUACCGCAGGGCUAACCCAACCCGUAACCAACGCCCGAGGCCUUGGAGCCCAUUUGCGCUCCUUCCCGGCCAGUCUGAGACUCGCGCCCCUUUGCGGCCAUUCUGAGAGUUGUGCCGAUUUUGGCAUGUGCAGUCAAUUGAUCUUGCCCAAAUUGGCUUUAGCUUUGCAAUCAAUUGAUCUCAGCCAAAUUGGCUUUAGCUUUGCCUUGCUUACGGGGUUGGGUUAGCUUUGCUUUGUUUGUUUGUACCGCAGGGCUAACCCAACCCCGUAACCAACGCCCGAGGCCUUCGGAGCCCAUUUGCGCUCCUUCCCGGCCAGUCUGAGACUCGCGCCCCUUUGCGGCCAUUCUGAGAGUUGCGCCGAUUUUGGCAUGUGCAGUCAAUUGAUCUUGCCCAAAUUGGCUUUAGCUUUGCAAUCAAUUGAUCUCAGCCAAAUUGGCUUUAGCUUUGCCUUGCUUACGGGGUUGGGUUAGCUUUGCUUUGUUUGUUUGUACCGCAGGGCUAACCCAACCCCGUAACCAACGCCCGAGGCCUUCGGAGCCCAUUUGCGCUCCUUCCCGGCCAGUCUGAGACUCGCGCCCCUUUGCGCGGCCAUUCUGAGAGUUGUGCCGAUUUUGGCAUGUGCAGUCAAUUGAUCUUGCCCAAAUUGGCUUUAGCUUUGCAAUCAAUUGAUCUCAGCCAAAUUGGCUUUAGCUUUGCCUUGCUUACGGGGUUGGGUUAGCUUUGCUUUGUUUGUUUGUACCGCAGGGCUAACCCAACCCCGUAACCAACGCCCGAGGCCUUCGGAGCCCAUUUGCGCUCCUUCCCGGCCAGUCUGAGACUCAUGCCCCUUUGCACAGCCAUUCUGAGAGUUGCGCCGAUUUUGGCAUGUGCAGUCAAUUGAUCUUGCCCAAAUUGGCUUUAGCUUUGCAAUCAAUUGAUCUCAGCCAAAUUGGCUUUAGCUUUGCCUUGCUUACGGGGUUGGGUUAGCUUUGCUUUGUUUGUUUGUACCGCAGGGCUAACCCAACCCCGUAACCAACGCCCGAGGCCUUCGGAGCCCAUNNNNNNNNNNNNNNNNNNNNNNNNNNNNNNNNNNNNNNNNNNNNNNNNNNNNNNNNNNNNNNNNNNNNNNNNNNNNNNNNNNNNNNNNNNNNNNNNNNNNGCUUCUGAAUGGCAACCAAUGGGCGUGUGGGGGGGCGGGGCUUCGCGGAUGUAAACAAUGUGGGACCCACAAAAACCCCACAUAAACAAUCCCAGAUCCCCCAUUAAUCACCUCGUUAACGAGGUGAGCCCCGUUAUGACGCCAUUAUUAAAGUAGGACCUCCAGAAACCCCAUGUAAACAAACUCAGAUCCCUCUUUAAUUACCCCACCAAUGGGAUCACCCCAUUAUGACGCCAUAUUUAAGGUAGGACCUCCAGAAACCCCAUAUAAACAAUCUCAGAUCCCUCUUUAAUUACCCCACCAAUGAGAUCGGCCCCAUAACGACCCCAUAGUUAAGGUAGGACCUUCAGGAACCCCAUGUAAACAAUCCCAGAUCCCCAAUUAAUCACCUCAUUAACGAGAUGAGCCCCAUUAUGACGCCAUAUUUAAGGUAGGACCUCCAGAAACCCCAUAUAACCAAUCCCAGAUCCCCCAUCCUUAUCCCCACCCAUGGAAUAACGCCACCAUUAAUAAUAAUAACGCCCCCCCCCCCCUUCCAACACCCCCCUUUCCUCCCUGUGUGGCGGCCAUUUUGGUAGGGUAACCCCCUCUCUACGGCGGCCAUUUUGGUAGGGUAACCCCUCUACGUGGUGGCCAUUUUGGUAGGGUAAUCCCCCCCCCUCUACGGCAGCCAUUUUGGUAGGGUAACCCGCCCCUCAUCCCCCCAACCCCUUUACGGCGGCCAUUUUGGUAGGGUAACCCCUCUACGGUGGCCAUUUUCGUAGGGUAACCCCCCCUUGCUUUGCUGUGGAGCGAUCCAAGAUGGUGGCGGCCAUUUUGGUAGGGUAACCCCCCCCCCCCCCCCCCCCCCCCCCCCUUCGGCGGCCAUUUUGGUAGGGUAACCCCCCCCCCUCCCUCUUCGGCGGCCAUUUUGGUAGGGUAACCCCUCCCCCAUCUCCCCCUCUACGGCGGCCAUUUUGGUAGGGUAACCCCUCCCUCAUCUCCCCCUCUACGGCGGCCAUUUUGGUAGGGUAACCCCCUCUCUACGGCGGCCAUUUUGGUAGGGUAACCCCCCCCCCCUCCUUUGCUGUGCUGUGGAGCGAUCCAAGAUGGCGGCUACCGCAAUCCCAGCUUCUUCUUCUCGCGCUGCUUCUUCCGCACCACGUCGAGGUUGCGCUCCU
rnacentral:lncRNA from 7 species